rnacentral:RNase_P_RNA from 1 species
ACGUCAACCCAGGUGAUUGCUCCGUAUUUUACGGAGAGGAAAGUCCGAACACCACAGUGUUCCCGCUAAUUUAAGGGAAGGGUAACUCCUAANNACGGUGAGGUAAGAGCUCACCAGUAUCUAUGGCAACAUUGAUGGCUAGGUAAACUCUACCCGGUGCAAUACCAAGUAGGUCCGCAUCUUGGCGGACGGGUUGGUAGCUUGAAUCCUGGUGCGAAUCAGGAUCUAGAUAGAUAAUCACCGCCCUGCCUCGCGCAGGGUACAGAAUUCGGCUUAUAAGGUUGAGGUGAGC